rnacentral:rRNA from 1 species
UACGUAGGCAGCAAGCGUUGUUCGGAGUUACUGGGCGUAAAGGGUGCGUAGGCGGUCCUAUAAGUAUGGUGUGAAAUCUCCCGGCUUAACUGGGAGGGUGCGCUAUAGACUGUGGGACUAGAGUGUGGGAGAGGAAAGUGGAAUUCCUGGUGUAGCGGUGAAAUGCGUAGAUAUCAGGAGGAACACCUGUGGCGAAAGCGGCUCACUGGACCAUAACUGACGCUGAUGCACGAAAGCUAGGGGAGCAAACAGGA